UACACUCCUGCGGGAGGCAGCAGUGGGGAAUAUUGCACAAUGGGCGCAAGCCUGAUGCAGCCAUGCCGCGUGUAUGAAGAAGGCCUUCGGGUUGUAAAGUACUUUCAGCGGGGAGGAAGGCGAUAAGGUUAAUAACCUUGUCGAUUGACGUUACCCGCAGAAGAAGCACCGGCUAACUCCGUGCCAGCAGCCGCGGUAAUACGGAGGGUGCAAGCGUUAAUCGGAAUUACUGGGCGUAAAGCGCACGCAGGCGGUCUGUCAAGUCGGAUGUGAAAUCCCCGGGCUCAACCUGGGAACUGCAUUCGAAACUGGCAGGCUAGAGUCUUGUAGAGGGGGGUAGAAUUCCAGGUGUAGCGGUGAAAUGCGUAGAGAUCUGGAGGAAUACCGGUGGCGAAGGCGGCCCCCUGGACAAAGACUGACGCUCAGGUGCGAAAGCGUGGGGAGCAAACAGGAUUAGAUACCCUUGUAGUCCC
rnacentral:rRNA from 1 species